UGCGCCGAAAAUUUACCGGGGCUAAGCAUAGUACCGAAACUGUGGAUGCAUCGAAAGAUGCGUGGUAGGAGAGCGUUCUAAGUGCGGUGAAGGUUAACCGAGAGGAUAAUUGGAGCGCUUAGAAGUGAGAAUGCCGGUAUGAGUAGCGAAAGACAGGUGAGAAUCCUGUCCGCCGAAAGACUAAGGUUUCCUGGGGCAGGCUCGUCCGCCCAGGGUAAGUCGGGACCUAAGGCAAGGCCGAGAGGCGUAGUCGAUGG
rnacentral:rRNA from 1 species